rnacentral:snRNA from 1 species
GUACUUGCUUCGGCAGUACAUUUACUAAAAUUGGAACGAUAUAGAGAAGAUUAGCAUGGCCCCUGCGCAAGGAUGACACGCAAAAUCGUGAAGCGUUCCACAUUUUU